GACGAACGCUGGCGGCGUGCUUAACACAUGCAAGUCGAACGGAAAGGCCCUGCUUUUGUGGGGUGCUCGAGUGGCGAACGGGUGAGUAACACGUGAGUAACCUGCCCUUGACUUUGGGAUAACUUCAGGAAACUGGGGCUAAUACCGUAUAGGAUCUCCUGCUGCAUUGUGGGGUUGGAAAGUUUCGGCGGUUGGGGAUUGACUCGCGGCUUAUCAGCUUGUUGGGUGGGUAGGGGCUUACCAAGGCUUUGCCGGGUAGCCGGCCUGAGAGGGUGACCGGCCACAUUGGGACUGAGAUACGGCCCAGACUCCUACGGGAGGCAGCAGUGGGGAAUAUUGCACAAUGGGCGGAAGCCUGAUGCAGCAACGCCGCGUGCGGGAUGACGGCCUUCGGGUUGUAAACCGCUUUCGCCUGUGACGAAGCGUGAGUGACGGUAAUGGGUAAAGAAGCACCGGCUAACUACGUG
rnacentral:rRNA from 1 species